UCCAGACCGACGCGUCCGGACGCACUUGGUGGGAGUAUAAAUCUCAUUGGAUCAACAUUUAAGUAGCAGUAAGUAAUGACUACAGACACUCCAUGCAUCUACACAUCGCUUGCGUCUCUCACUCUGAAUCUAAUCUUCAGAUUUCUGUUGUCCACCACAAAAUAGCUUGAUUAAGGAUACUAUGGGAUCUUGGAGACCUCAGAUGUAGGUGAGGAUGAGAUGCCAGAUAUGAAAUUAUGAAGGAUGAGACAUGUCUGAAGAAGAAGGCUCGGCUAGGUAUAUUAGAACAAUCCAUGUUUUAUUCUUGGCACUAUACAAGUGCAUCUCCUCUUUUACUAUAAAUAGCACGAUGCACUAAUUUUCUUACGAGUCUGAUAAAUAUGUGUAAUUAUAUGAUUAUUGGAGCCCACGUAUAUUUUUAAGAAAUGCAAGUAUGUGGUAUUUGCUUUUCAUUUGUGAUAGACAAUAGUAGAAAGAAAAUAUGGUCCAAAAGUAUGUGGUGUACAGUUUAUAAAAACUUGUUGGGCUGAAAAAAUGAAAUAUGAUUUAGUGUUAAUGGAAGAGAGAUCUUGAUUUCUGGCUUUCAUUUUAUUCGAGUUAUUUAUUUUCAGUUCUACUCUUGGUACUACGAUCAUGUGGCCUGCCAUCGAGGCUCGGAUGCGCAGAGGUAGUAGUUACAAGCCGGUGGCAGCAAACCAACAACUGGCCAACGACAUGCGCACAACCAUCAACUGCCAUAAACUGGUUCCCCUGCUUGUAAACUGCUCGAUUUUCAUUGGCUUGAUGCCAAAAAUUGGUUUGCUGCCAAUCAACUGGUUCGCCAAGUGGAUGCAUCAACUGGUUCUGUCCGUUCCCACAUCAACUGGUUCUGUCCGUUCCCCUGCUUGUAAACUGCUCGAUGAAAUGCGUGACUGUUGCUUCUUUCAAUGUGGGAUCUUUCCUGUGUUGCUUGAGUCAUGAGUGCGUGUGUGCCAUGGAUCUAUUGUUUGCUGCUUCUAAGAGCCGAUGGGAUUUGGUUUAUCCUCUUCCCAGGGGCCUUUUCGCCCAUGCUGAAUAUUUCUAAUGGCAUUAGUUGAAGGCCUCGUUUAGGUAAUUAAACUGCUAAAUAUUUCAGUCCUGCAAUCAAACCGGCCCCAUAUGGAAAGUUUCUAAGGAUUUAAAUCCUCCCAAAAUUAUGUGGAAUCCCUUUGAAACAAAUAAUUCAUUUUUUGUGCCCCACAAACCACUUUGAUCCGUUAUGUUAGUAGGAACGAAGAAUAAUACUACAAUGUUUCUUUACACAUUGUUCAAAUUAUUUUGCACAUAUUACAUGCAGAUUUGGCUUCACUAAAGACCAUGGUGGUCAUAUGGUGCAUGUGUCUAGGAGUAGGGUCUUGAACUAAGAAAUUCCCUCUUCUCUUUUUCGGAUCUAUUGCUGCUGUGCUUAGUGGCCGUGGAUGUUCUGUCCUUGCAGGUGGUUGUUGGUUGAGUGUGAGAGCUGUACUCCUUCAUCGAUCUCUGAUCUUGUUCGUCGAUGAAUUCUGCGCCUGUCAUCGUCGCCAAGGUAUGGUUUUGUGUUCUACUGAUGCGUGUCCAUGGAUGUUCCUGUGUCGAUUUUUGGUUCGUGCCUGUGUGACUCCAUUCAUGCUCAUGAACUGUUUGAUCUUAUGUCCCUUCACUGUGAGACGUUAAAUUUGUUUUUCUUAUUUCAGAAAUCGCACUAAUCGGUUCGUCGUCAGAUUUGCCAUGCUGUUUCAUGUGCUCAAAGGAUCAUCUUUCUCUUCAGGUUCGAUUUUCAGCACUUUUCCUUGCCGCUUCAGUUUAUUGUGCUUUUUCUUGUAUGAGAUUUGAAGCAAGUUCAUCCUUCUUCUUCUUCUUAGAGAUUCUGAUGAGAAUUGUUAUGUGUACAAGCAUAAAUUUGAGAUCAAUUCUGCUGUGUUAUACGCUUUAAAACGAGAUCAACCUAAGUGGACUUGUUUGUGCCGUUUAAAAUUCAGUUAUGUGCAAAGAAACAGCAAAUACCAGUUUACUGUAACUUUUCUUGUAUGAGAUUUCAAGCGAGAUUGUUCAGUUCGUUCUUCUUUUUGUUCCUAGAGAUUCUGAGAGAGAAUGUUAUGUGCCGCUGUAUAAAGAUGUUUUGUGUUGCUGACGUUUAAAAUUCAGCUAUCUACAGAGAAACAACAAAUACCAGUGUACUGUAGAUUUUCUUGUAUAACGCUCCAAGCAAGAUGGUUCGGAUGGUUCUUAUUUCUCUUCUUAGAAAUUUGGAGCAAGAUGCAGUAUGCAUUUCAAUAUGUAAAAGAUGUCUUAGCUCAAGAUUGUCUAAGCUGAAGAACAAGUGUCAACCAAUUUGUAUCAUUGCAAUGUUAUUUGUUAUUGUUUAUUCAUUUUUGCUUUCUUCCCCUUUUUACAUUUUGAGAAAGUUGAGAAUAUAUGUUACUGCUGCAUUAGUAAAGUCCUCUUAGAUGAAAAGAUAAUGUUAUUAGUUAUCGCAUCGAUGGCUAGAGAAUAGUUAUGUUGCCCACAAGAGUUUUCUGAAUUUUAUGUUGUAAAUUUUCAUUUCUCUAGGCCUUUCAUUCUAACAGCGAUGCCCUAAGAAUAGUUAUGUUGCUCACAAGAAAUGAACCAGACAGCCACGAAUAACUUGUCUCCGGGUAGUUAAUUUUAUGGUGCUUUCCAUUCUGCAUUUGAGGUUCGUUAUGACAUAUAUCCCAGUGAUGAAUUUUUCAGUAAACUGGUCUUUAUGUCCUCAACUAUUAGGCUGAAUAUUUAUUGCAUAUCAAAACUCACAUUUUUAAAAGCACUUCCUGCUUUAUUUAUGUGUUAUCCAUUGUUCUUUAAUCCAUAAGCCCUUGAUCUUAAUAUAUGGUGAUGUAAAAUUUUGCCAAUAGGUUUAGAGACGAGGAUCCAGAGAAAUAUUAUGCUCAGCCAUCCUUCUGUAUCAACUUCUGUAUCAACUGUAACGGUGAGAUCCCACUUGUCAUGGAAGCUUUCUCUUAUCCUUCUAUAGAAACCUAUUCCCUUCUUGCCAAAUCCUUUUUUUAAUUGCAGAUAUUGCAAUUAUUUAUCUUUCCUUGCAAGGAUUACAUGAUCUACACAACAGAGACUUUGAAAUACACAAACAUGAUGAUGAUUAUAAUAGAGGAAGUACAGUGGCAAGCACCAAUCAAUGUGAGGUCAAAACAUAAAGCCGAGAAACAACACCUGCCACAUGGCACUCCCUGUUUCAUGUUGUUUCUUAUGUGAUCAGCAGAUAACAUGCAAUGAAGCAUUCGGUGGAUAAUUUGCUUGCCAUGUUUGCCACUGAAAAUCUUCUUUGUAAUUAUCUUCCAGCUAUAAUUAUGUAUGUUUGGAUGUUGACCUGAAGUUUUUUGGUCAUCAUCAUGGACAUAGUCUCUGUCUCUCUGAACCUAUUAUAUUCUGUAACUUUGGAGAAUAUGCUGGAUGUUCACUAUUGCAUUAGAUUUUAAGCUAAUACUAUUUGAGAUAUAUGGGUCAUUGGAUAAGUAGGAUCCACUAUACCGAAGUAAACAUGUCAGAAGUAUUUAUUACUCCCUCCGUCCCAUAAUGUAGGAUGUUUUUUUGACACUAAUGUAUCUUUCAUCUGCUUUAUUGUGCAGGUGAGACUUUUACAUUAGCUAUGGAAGAAGAGGCCAAAGAUCAAAUACUAUGUCUGCACCAUCAGCAAGACAUUUGCCAAACCAGGGCAAUGCAUGGUAUGUUCAAAAUCAUAGCCUGCUCUUCAUAAAGCUAAUGUUUACUAACUUCAUCAUGUAGCAAGUUAUAUCUCCGUAUUGUAGAGUGUCACUUCUUAUCAUUUUUUCUCAUAAAAAAAUGUUGAUUGAUUGUCACAGAAUAUCUGCACUUUUCACUUUAAUUUUUCAACACCAAUGCUGGUGCUUUACUGCCAUGCCCACUGUCUAUGUGAAAAUGACAAAUUUGGUUUUCUAUGUCUAUCUACAAUGCUGAUUUUCUUUCGCCGUUAUUCUUUCUCACUCUAAUAACUUGUUAUGCUCACUGACAUUCAUCGAACUCUCUUUUGCAUAAUAUUUUGUUACUGCAUAUGUUCUAGCUGAGCAAAUACUACACAAGUUCUAACCUGUAAUGCUUGAGAAGAAGUCUUGCCAUGAACUAACUGUUACUCUUUGUCUUCACAGUACUUUCACAUGGAGUACACUGAGGACAAGCUACAGAAAUACAUCAAGAAGAUGAUGACACAUUGCCACUCAAGCUCGGAGACGGAACCGUGAGCUGCGAUGGUCGCUACAUGCUUGGAACCGACAAGAGGGCCACCACAUCAUGACGAACUGUCAUAUGGUUUCGCCAUCACGCCAACAUCAAAAGAGGGCGACAUGUGC
rnacentral:lncRNA from 1 species